rnacentral:rRNA from 1 species
ACACAUGCAGUCGAGGGGUAACAGAUCUUCGGAUGCUGACGACCGGCGAACGGGUGAGUAACACGUAUGCAACUUACCCAUAACUCGGGAAUAGCCCAAAGAAAUUUGGAUUAAUACCCAAUAAUACAGGCGUACCGCAUGGUAUUCUUCGUUAAAGAAUAAUCGGUUAUGGAUAGGCAUGCGUUCUAUUAGGUAGUUGGUGAGGUAACGGCUCACCAAGCCGACGAUGGAUAGGGGAACUGAGAGGUUGUCCCCCCACACUGGUACUGAGACACGGACCAGACUCCUACGGGAGGCAGCAGUGAGGAAUAUUGGUCAAUGGACGAAAGUCUGAACCAGCCAAAUCGCGUGAAGGAAGAAGGUAUUAUGUAUCGUAAACUUCUUUUGUAAGAGAGUAAAGUGCACUACGUGUAGUGUAUUGCAAGUACCUUACGAAUAAGCAUCGGCUAAUUCCGUGCCAGCAGCCGCGGUAAUACGGAAGAUGCAAGUGUUAUCCGGAUUUAUUGGGUUUAAAGGGUGCGUAGGUGGUCUAAUAAGUCAGUGGUGAAAUCUCUUUGCUUAACAAGGAAAUUGCCAUUGAAACUGUUAGACUUGAGAAUGGACGAGGUAGGCGGAAUUCGUAGUGUAGCGGUGAAAUGCAUAGAUAUUACGAAGAACUCCAAUAGUGUAGACUGCUUACCAGACCAUAUCUGACACUAAGGCACGAAAGUGUGGGUAUCAAACAGGAUUAGAUACCCUGGUAGUCCACACAGUAAACGAUGAAUACUAACUGUUUGCGAUAUACAGCAAGUGGUCGAGCGAAAGCGUUAGUAUUCCACCUGGGAGUAUGCGGCACGUGAACUCAAGGAAUGACGGGGCCGCACAGCGAGACAUGUGUUAUCGAUAUACGCGAGACUACCCGGG